UCGCAGCUACGCUGCUCGAACUUGUUGCCAGGGGCUGGAAAUCAGAUAAUUAUUUCCGCGCUGGGUACUUGACUAAAAUCGAGGAUAACAUCCGGACUGAAUUUCCCGAUUCCGACUUGAAAGGCACUCCACAUAUAACAUCGAAAAUAUCGGCGUGGAAGAAGACAUACUCAAAGGAAUUUUGGGAAGAAGUGGUGUCGGCUUCAAUACCCAUGGCAAAUACAAAAUUGAUUGCGAUGACGAUCAAUGGGAGCAAAUUGUACAUGUAAUGAUCCUCUUCUGUGAAGACAGGCAAGGAUGCCAAAUUAAUGCGUACAAAAUCGUGGCCCGUUUGGGAGACUUAGAAAAGCAUUUUCGGCAAGGACCGUGCCUCCGGUGGUGGGCCCGAGCAAGUAGAUGUUGCGACUGAACAUUUAAAAGCCAAACUAGCCUGUGGUAGCUAGGUAAAUGAGAACGAUUAUCGUCCUCCGUAUAAGAAUGGUACUUCGGUGCAUGCUAGUGAACCAUACGUCCAGCCCUUUGACCUCAACGACGACAGCUCCAGAAAUGGUAGAAAGUAAGCUUCAACUACCAAACCAAGUUCUCACAAAGGGAAACAAUAUUGCCCUGGCACUGUUACGAUGGAGUUCCUUUCUAACCUUCAUGCUGAAACCAACAAUCGUUUGGAGAUGAUUUCUGCACACAUUAGCUACGAGUUUGAUCUAGGAAAGGCGGGGCAGGAGGUCUUCGAUAAGCUGGGCGAUGUAGAGGAGCUAACACUGAAACAGAGGUAUAAGUUAUGUAACAUCUUGGGUGAUAAACCCCAACGACUUGAGGUGUUCAUUGGUAUGCCGGCUAAUGCUCGACUAGGGUACCUGUUGAUGUUGACCGAAGACAACCGCUAGUUUGUUCGUAUUGCUGACAUUUUGUUAUGACUUUAGUAAUAUGUAUUUUCCCUGAUCUGUAUUAAUCGGACUUUAGGGUGAUUAUGCCAUUAGGCAUGAACUAUGUAUUAAUCUACUUUGUGGCACCCAUGUGCAUCAUUCUAAGGUUAUGUAAAUCUGCUA